rnacentral:rRNA from 1 species
UCCUACGGGGGGCAGCAGUGAGGAAUAUUGAUCAAUGGCCGGAAGGCUGAACCAGCCAAGUCGCGUGAGGGACGACUGCCCUAUGGGUUGUAAACCUCUUUUAUAAGGGAAGAAUAAAUGCUACGUGUAGCAUGAUGCCUGUACCUUAUGAAUAAGCAUCGGCUAACUCCGUGCCAGCAGCCGCGGUAAUACGGAGGAUGCGAGCGUUAUCCGGAAUUAUUGGGUGUAAAGGGUGCGUAGACGGAAGAACAAGUUGGUUGUGAAAUCCCUCGGCUCAACUGAGGAACUGCAACCAAAACUAUUCU